GUGCGCCGCUCUAGCCCACCCGCUGAAUUUAAGCAUAUCGCUAAGCGGAGGAAAAGAAACCAACCGGGAUUCCCUUAGUAACGGCGAGUGAACCGGGAGAAGCCGAAUCCCGUCGCCCGUUAACGGUGUCGGGACCUGUGGCGCAUGGGUCGAGGACAGUCGUUCGUUUCGUCUCGCGUAGUUCGGAGUUCCCUCGAUCGGGACCGCCCGCGGCAUGCCAGGCCCAUUCGGUGCGAACGGCGAACGACGGUCUUCGAUCCGAGAGUCGGGUUGCUUGGGAAGCGAGCCCAAAUCGGGUGGCAAGCUCCAUCCAAGGCUAAAUACCGGGACGAGUCGAUAGUCGAGAAGUACGUGAGGAAAGUUGAAAGACUUGGAGAGAGAGUGAGAGACGUGAACGCCAGGGUAACGGUGGACGUCACGCGAUCCGGGGACUCAGUCGGUGACUUCUCCUGGAACGGCUCUGCCCUCGACUCUUGGUCUCUUUCCCAAUCUAUUUCGCACUAACCUCUCUA
rnacentral:rRNA from 1 species